rnacentral:rRNA from 1 species
UACGAACUGUGCGAACGUUAUUCGGAAUCACUGGGCUUACAGGGUGCGUAGGCGGCUCAACAAGUCAGGUGUGAAAGCCCCCGGCUCAACCGGGGAACUGCGCUUGAAACUGUUAGGCUCGAGUCAGCUAGAGGUACACGGAACUUCCAGUGGAGCGGUGAAAUGUGUUGAUAUUGGAAGGAACACCGGAGGCGAAGGCGGCUUGCCAGAAUGCGCUCGACGGUGAGGGAUGAAAGCUGGGGGAGCAAACCGG